UACAGAGAGUGCAAACGUUGUUCGGAAUUACUGGGCUUAAAGCGCACGUAGGCGGUGUCGUAAGUGUCUGGUGAAAUCCCACGGCUCACCCGUGGAACUGCCAGGCAUACUGCGAUGCUCGAGUGUGGUAGGGGAGAGCGGAACUCCUGGUGGAGCGGUGAAAUGCGCAGAUAUCGGGAGGAACACCCGUAGCGAAGGCGGCACUCUGGGCCGGUACUGACGCUGAGGAGCGAAAGCGUGGGGAGCAAACAGG
rnacentral:rRNA from 1 species